GUCGUAACAAGGUUUCCGUAGGUGAACCUGCGGAAGGAUCAUUACCGAUUUUAUAGUACCACUUUACUGUUGGGGUGUUAUAGUACCACUGUGAAUGCGUAAUGGACCGUGUGGGGUGACGCCGGUCGCAACGAUUGUCAGAGGUGGGUCAACGUCUCAAAUGCAGUCUCAGCGAUGCGAUGAGCUGCGGCCCCACACGAGUCGUCGUACUUUGCUCGGAAGUACUGUAGAGUGUCUUCCUGUCUUUAAUGUCACUUGGUAGCGGUGACUUGGAAAACGAAAUUGUGUUAUGGAACAACUUCUAACGGUGGAUCUCUUGGCUCGUGCAUCGAUGACGAACGCAGCCAGUUGCGAUAAGUAAUGUGAAUUGCAGAAUUCAGUGAAUCAUCGAAUCUUUGAACGCAAAUUGCGCUCUCUGGAUCCCCAGGGAGCAUGUCUGUCUGAGUGUCGCGAACAGAAACCACACACUUCGGGUGUGAACGUUUGGGUGCCUCGGGUUUUUAAGAGGUCUCGCUUUCGGGCGUGCCUCAGAGAGCCGUCACUCUGAGUCCUUGGUUAAGUUACCAGAAGCGCGCAGUUGUUGUAGUGCUGCGUACUCUGGAAGGCUCUAAGCUUUGGUUGAUGGUGGGCAAGACCCUUCUCAGAGUGCCACACGGACGGCACUGGUAAACGGCGGUGUUUAUAAUAUUGGGGCCUAGCAAAGCUGCGGCCAGGUUGGUUGGGUGUACGAAUCCUCCGAGUCUUUGACCUCAGAUCAGGCAAGACUACCCGCUGAACUUAAGCAUA
rnacentral:rRNA from 1 species